AUUUGUAUGAGCUGUAUCAUAGGCUGAUAGUUAUUUACUCACUCCAAAAAAAAAAACAACUUGUUUAAGCUUUAGGCAGAAUAUGCUGAUAUUUAAUGGCUUAAAGAUAUCAUGUACAUGGUUUUCCUCUAAACCAAGCAUUGUGGAAUUGCAGCCCUUAUAAUGGACAAAAUGGAGAGUGAACUAAUUUUGGCUAUACUAUCUUAAAAUGUGCAAUUUCCUGGUAAAUCCUCAAUCAGCUCCCUUAUAAGAAUGAACCUGCUGUUUCUCCAACUAGCAUAAUAUGAUUGAGC